UGGGUAACCUGCCUCAAAGAGGGGAAUAGCCUCCCGAAAGGGAGAUUAAUACCGCAUAAUAUGUUUUAGUCGCGUGACUUAAACAUCAAAGGAUUUUCUUUUAGAAAUUCCACUUUGAGAUGGACCCGCGGCGCAUUAGCUAGUUGGUGAGGUAACGGCUCACCAAGGCAACGAUGCGUAGCCGACCUGAGAGGGUGAUCGGCCACAUUGGAACUGAGACACGGUCCAGACUCCUACGGGAGCAG
rnacentral:rRNA from 1 species